rnacentral:rRNA from 1 species
AUACGGAGGGGGCUAGCGUUGUUCGGAAUUACUGGGCGUAAAGCGCGCGUAGGCGGAUCGUUAAGUCAGGGGUGAAAGCCCGGAGCUCAACUCCGGAACUGCCCUUGAUACUGGCGAUCUCGAGUCCGGGAGAGGUGAGCGGAAUUCCUAGUGUAGAGGUGAAAUUCGUAGAUAUUAGGAGGAACACCAGUGGCGAAGGCGGCUCACUGGCCCGGUACUGACGCUGAGGUGCGAAAGCGUGGGUAGCAAACGGGAUUAGAAACCCUUGUAGUCC